GACGAACGCUGGCGGCGUGCUUAACACAUGCAAGUCGAACGGAAAGGCCUGCUUUCCCUUGUGGAUUGCGGGUACUCGAGUGGCGAACGGGUGAGUAACACGUGAGUGAUCUGCCCCCAACUUGGGUAUAAGCCUGGGAAACUGGGUCUAAUUCCCGAUAGGACUGCAGGGUGGUGCCUGUGGUGGAAAACGAUUUUCUAGUGGUUGGGGAUGAGCUCGCGGCCUAUCAGCUUGUUGGUGGGGUAAUGGCCUACCAAGGCGGCGACGGGUAGCCGGCCUGGGAGGGUGGACGGCCACAGUGGGACUGAGAUACGGCCCAGAAUCCUACGGGAGGCAGCAGUGGGGAAUAUUGCACAAUGAGCGGAAGCCUGAUGCAGCGACGCCGCGUGGGGGAUGACGGCCGUCGGGUUGUAAACUCCUUUCGACCGCGAGGAAGCCACCUGGUUGGAAGGGUGGUGACGGUAGUGGUAGAAGAAGCACCGGCUAACUACGUG
rnacentral:rRNA from 1 species